AGCACCUACAAAACUAAUGCUUCUUUCUGUUGAUCAGGAACUAUCAUGAGUUUGAGCAAACUCUGGAAGACGGUGAAGGACAGGGAAGCCUGGCGUGCUGCAGGCCAUGAGGUCACAAAGAGUCAGACACGACUGAACAACACCAUGCUGGGAAAUGGAGGAAGGUAAAUGGUGGAGCUGAGAUUAAACCACAGCUGCAUGAAUCCAAGCCUUAGAUCUUGGCGACUCUGCGAUGUUGGGCAUUUCAGACCUGAAAGGGCACUUCCGUGCCACUCUCUCUAACUUCUUCUUGGACAGACAGAGCAACCGAAGACACACAGCUGGGGACAAAGCCCAGCUUAGAAGCCAGGUUUCCAGUCCCCCAGACUAACGUUCUAACUGCAAUGAGUUGCCAAAUGCAAAUUCCAUGCAGAUAACUUGGUCUGCUAUCUGUUCCUUCUUCAUAAGGGAUCAUUUUCCUGUGGAGUCUGAGUUGUCCGUGUGUCCACUUUGAUCACUGACGGGGAAUGCCAUUCCACUGAAAGUGCCUCUCAGGACUGUCCAGGGACCGCGAGCAGCGAAGGGCUCAGGUUGCAGCCACUCUCCAGGCUGGAACAAAUGCGCUACUUGGCCGUUCCUCACAUCUUGUUUCUUUAGCACUGGGAUAGGGUGGGUAAUCAAAGGUGACAAGCUUCCUCCACUCCUCUGGUGCCUCUCGCUAUGCAGGCUGGCCACAUGCACGUGAAUCUGCAGAGGCAGCUGCUGCGAGUCUCAGAUGCAGAGACUCUGAGCCACGUGGGGCUUCGUAACAUUGCUGCAAGGAAGGAAGGAAUGCCAUCAGUUGUCACAUUAUUGGAAGGAAGGAAUGUGUGUGUAGCUAGCAGAGAAAGAAGACAGAAAGUUCUGCCAACAUGAGAUUAAAUCACCUUGGGUUUGUGUAACUGAUUUGGGUUGCAUCUCUUUUAAGGAUGCUUCUCUGGUACUCAGAUACGGGGAUGGCAGAGCAAGCCCAUCCCAUGGAGGCUGGCCUACUUGCAAUUUUUUGUUCCCUGCCAUUGGUGGAGUCUCUGAGAAGCUAAAGGGGUUCAAGUACAAGCAGCAAUAACCUAAAUGUUGUGUGAUGAAGGAGGUCAGCACAGAAAGGAUGGGUGCCCUUCUUUUUGCUUUUGGUGAAUUGUAAACUACUUUUUGGAAUAAAGGUCAACAAAGGGAGUGAAA